rnacentral:piRNA from 1 species
UCCCCUUACGUAAAGGAUAGGUGUUGCA